rnacentral:lncRNA from 1 species
CCAGACGAGCUACCACACCACGCGCUUUCCGGUCGCAAUGACGCCGAAACGGCGUGCGCGAGGUUCACCCAUUACCGCUCGCGAAAACACCGCGCCCACGGCACCUCACCGGGCGUAUAGCUCACGUCCCUCGACCAUAUUUCCAACGCAUCUCAGGUUUGAGGCGUCCCCGCCACGGCGACGCAAGCACUGACGACACAACCGCGCUUCACCUUGCAACAUGUGCGUUUGCUUCUUUCGCGUACUUUGUGCCACGAGGCCGUGCAACAUUCAUCCGCAGCGUCACUGUCAACCGCGACCACCAAAGAACAUUGUGCGAGCCCCAUCGCCUUCACCAGAGCUCAGACUCCGUCUAUGCAGCGUGGCGCCCUGUCGCAGUGCCGAUGUGGUGACGCACCGAUGACAACUAAGUCCGAGAAGGCGGGAGCGGAACGAGCGCAUGAGGAGAAAAAAGAACAGAGAAUUCGAGUAGUUGCUUCUUGCAUUUCAACGUGGCAUCGUCUUUUUUUCAACUUCAGAACUUCAAUUUUUCAAAAUUCAACGUGACUGCCACGCUCGUAUAACAGACUUAAAU